CAGCAGCCGCGGGAAUACGUAGGUGGCAAGCGUUGUCCGGAAUUAUUGGGCGUAAAGGGCUCGCAGGCGGUUUCUUAAGUCUGAUGUGAAAGCCCCCGGCUCAACCGGGGAGGGUCAUUGGAAACUGGGAAACUUGAGUGCAGAAGAGGAGAGUGGAAUUCCACGUGUAGCGGUGAAAUGCGUAGAGAUGUGGAGGAACACCAGUGGCGAAGGCGACUCUCUGGUCUGUAACUGACACUGAGGAGCGAAAGCGUGGGGAGCGAACAGGAUUAGAUACCCGUGUAGUCCCUGUCUCUUAUUU
rnacentral:rRNA from 1 species